UGACCGUGACGAGGGCGGCGCAUUGAU
rnacentral:sRNA from 1 species